GGAGUAGUCUCCCCUUGCCGACAGGGGGCGCGCGACGCCAAACGGAAACAAACUGUGGGGAGUGGUCCAAGGUGACUAGAGAUCUCACAGGAUGACACACAAACACUUGAGCAACAAGCACUGCAUGUCCACGCGUUGAGUGCAGCAUCAUGGAGACGCAGAGUUCCUUUACCAUGGAACUGUCAGCUAUCGUCCUCAGCUGCUUGGCAGCGAUUAUCUUGUGCAUCAUCAAACUACCGCACGUCCUUGUAGUCGACGCUGUGUACACCGUGCUGGGUGGUGCUUGUACACUGUGGUACACCGCCGAUGUCCUCAAUGAGUACAGCAGAGGGAUCGUUCUGGACAUACAUCAUAUCUUCUUGGCCAAGAUCCGAGUUGUUAACCUUUUGACGACGACAGUCAGCUGGUUGCUGAUCCGCAAGUCUGUGGACAUCACUACCAGGAGUGCUGUCAGCUUCUCUCGGUUUAUCACCUACGCCAUCUCUGCCAUUGUCAUGAUUAUGGCACACGGAACGAAUAGCUUCACACGAGCACAUCUAGCUUACAGCACUAUUCCCACCACCCUGUGGGCCGUGGUUCUGGGGAUGCAGAUGUUCAAAACUGGCACUCGGGUCAACGCCCACAUCCGAACAAGUGACAUCAACCUCUUUUUGGUUGUGGACAUGUUUCUUCACCUCGUUCUGGGCCUGGCUGACAUCAUUCACCCAUUCGUCAUCGCCGACAUCCAGGACCUGGAGCUGGACGAUCUGCACGUGUACCAGUACCGCUUAAACGGCGCCGUCAGUCUUGGCAACGCCGCCUUUUCAUGGGUAGCACGUCGCUUCCGGUUUGGCGACGAGAAGCGCGCCGUCAUCCUGAGCCAUUUCUUAAGCUGCGUGGUGAUUCUGGCGGGAAUGACGACGUGGCUGUCUUCCGGGAUGCUGACCUUCACCUUCAGCACGCAGAUCAUAUACCUCCGCAACGUCCUCAUCAUGCUGCCCGCAGUCAUCUGCUUCUUGCGGAAGGACAACGGCGCCUUCUGGUUCCAGCACAUAUUCCAGCACUUCGCCAAGAAAGGCCGUUAUCCGCAGGCCUGACAAGAGGGAGGGGCAGGGAGGGAUGUUGUACCCAGGCCCACAGCUGUCGAGGGGUCCGGCUUUGAUUGUUCUCAGAAGUCCCAGCAGGAGUUAUGUGUACGGACACUCGAAGAGGCGGGCCAGUUAAAAGACCGACGGUUGUACUACAUGAGCAUGGCUUGUCGUCCUGGCCAACAAGGCUGUGGGCACUUCCACGAGAGAG
rnacentral:misc_RNA from 1 species